rnacentral:lncRNA from 10 species
CCAGCCUGGGCAACAGAGCGAGACUCUGUCUCAAAAAAAAAAAAAGGAAAGAAAGAAAAAUAGAAAGUAUGUUAAUAGAAUAAAGUAAUUUACAUAGAAUCAAAGGAAGCAAGAAUUUGGCAGCAUUAGUCUAAUAGUGCUGAGCGUACUGCUGCCAAAGUCAGACAAACUGAACACAACAAAUACUAAAACCUCUAGAAAGAAUAGUGUGGAUCAGGGUAGGUUCCUCAUACUUGUCAAACACAUAAAAUAUCCCUCUAGCACCCUCUCCUCCACUUCUAUGCUCACCUGAGAGGAUUCUGAUUGUGCACUUGGCCUCUCAGUUACCUUUCCUAGAAGGGAUACACGAGACCUUCACCUAGCAACAUGACUACUGCACUUGAAAUGUGGCUAAUCCAGGCACUUUGGGAGGCCAAGGAGGGAGGAUCACUUGAGCCCAGGAGUUUGAGACCAGCCUGGGCAACAUGGUGAGAUCCUAUCUUUAUAAAAAGAAAAAAAAGAAGAAGAAAGUAACUAAAUAAAAAUAAAACUCUGUUAAAAAAAAAAAGAAAGAAAGAAAAGUGGCUAUCUGAAUUGAGAUUUGCUGUAAGCAUAAAAUCCAUCCCAGAUUUGGAAGACUUUGCAUGAAAAAAAUACAAAACAUCUUACUAAUGAUUUUUUACAUUGAUUACAUGUAGAAAGUAUAAUAUUUUGAAUAUGUUGGGUUAAUUAAAAUACAUUAAAAUUAAUUUUACCUGUUUCUUUUUAGUUUUUUAAAUAUGUCUACUAGAAAAUUCUAAAUACAUCUGUGACUUGCAUUUUUAUUUUAUUUAUUUAUUUAUUUCUUGAGACAGAGUCUCAUUCUGUCACCCAGGCUGGAGUAGAGUGGCUCGAUCUUGGCUUACUGCAGCCUCUGCCUCCCAGGCACAAACAAUUCUCCUACCUCAGCCUCCCGAGUAACUGGGAUUACAGACACCCACCACCAUGCCUGGCUAAUUUUUGUGUUUUUAGUAGAGACAGGGUUUCACCAUGUUGGCCAGGCUGGUCUCCAACUCCUGACCUCAGGUGAUCCACCCGCCUUGGCCUCCCAAAGUGCUGGGAUUAUAGGUGAGAGCCACCGCACUCCACCAACUUGCAUUUUUGACAGAAUUAUAUGUCUAUUAAAGAGCGCCAAUUUAGAACACUGAACAAUAAUACCAUAAACAAUGUAAAUAUACAUUCUCCCUGUAAAUUAAUAAAUUGACAACUUGAUUUAGAAAUCUGACUUUGGUGAAUUUUCACGGCACAAGUCUGUCCCUCACAUAUUGAUCGAUUUUGUAUUUACAAACUCAAAUACAUCUCCUUCUAUAGCCCUGCAAAAUGAAGGAUCACGCCUUCACUGAAGUGAGCAAAUCAAAGUUUUGGCAUCUUCUGAGCUUUCUGGGCACAAGCUGUCAGCUCAGCCAUUUCUCUGCCUGCAAUUUCGCUCUUGGUUUAUAAUCUUGGGUUUAGGCUGUUUUUCAAGGGAUAGAGUUGGUAUCAUUCAUAUUUGUUUUCCUAUCACUUAUGUUCCUUAAACAAAGGAUUUUAAAAGUUUGUUAAAUAUUCUACAUUUUAUGCCUUUGAUCAUAGCUGUAAGACUGCUUGCCUUGAAAAGGAUUUGCACAUAAUUCUCCAUGGUUUUUUUCUUAAUAUGUUAAUUGCAAACCGCUUGUAAAGAUUGAGUACAUGAAGAUCUGAAAGACAGCAGUUAUUUACAGUCAUGUAAAGUAAAAAUGGCAAGUGAUAUCUAAUUAAUAGCUAAUAACCUAAUAAUAUGGAGUGGAAACUUGAUAACCAUUACAGCACACUGUAUUUUAUUAUCAAGGACAGAGCCUUAGAGACAGACCACAGAAUUGAUGUUUCAUCAUUAUGCGAUGGCCUACAUUAUAUGACCUCUUAUUUGUCCCUCAACUCCAAUAGCAACCUCAAGGCUGAUAUAGAAUAGCAGUGGAAAGGAAAAUAAAUGACACAAAAAGAAAAGUAGGUUUAUCAUGGGACCAAUGUAGUGCUUUGGCCUCAUAGCAGAGACCAGAUGGUAGCAGCUCCUCUCUCAGCAGGUAGCUCUUCAAUAUCCUACGGGUUGUAAACAACAAAUUCACAUCAUCUCCACCUGCUAAUAAGUAUUUUUUAAAAUAUUGCGGCAACAUCGAAACAAUGCUGAAAAUACAAUCCCUCAAUAUAAGAAAAAAAGUUUUCCUAAAUAUUUAGUCUGUUAAAAGAAAAAGUCUUUUCUGAGAAAUGCUAUUACCCACUAGAAAAUCUUGGCUUCUUAAAAUCCAAGAAUAUUCUCAUCUCUUUUUUUUUUUUUUUUCUUUUUUUGAGACAGAGUCUCACUCUGUUGCCCAGGCCAGAGUGCAGUGGCGCGAUCUUGGCUCACUGCAAGCUCCACCUCCCAGGUUCAAGCGAUUCUCCUGCCUCAGCCUCCUGAGUAGCUGGGAUUACAGGCACGUGCCACCAUGCCCGGCUAAUUUUUGUAUUUUUUAGUAGAGACGAGGUUUCACCAUAUUGGCCAGGCUGCUCUCCAACUCCUGACCUUGUGAUCCACCUGCCUCGGCGUCCCAAAGUGUUGGGAUUACAGGCGUGAGCCACAGCGCUCGGCCUCUUUUUUUUAAAUAAAGUAAAUGGCCCUCAUUUUACCCAAUUUUGUGACUUUGUAAAAGCCAAUGAAAAUGCCUGAGAAACUACUGACAUUAGUUUUACUGCAGUUAAAUAUUUGUUAACUUUGCCAGGCGCGGUGUCCCGUGCCUGUAGUCCCAGCUACUUGGGAGGCUGAGGCAGGAGACGGCUUGAGCCCAGGAGUUCUGGGCUGUAGUGUGCUAUACCGAUCGCGUGUCCGCACUAAGUUCGGCACCAAUAUGGUGACCUCCCAGGAACAGGGGACCACGAGGUUGCCUAAGGGGAGGGGUAAACUGGCCAAGGUCAGAAAUAGAGCAGGUCAAAACUCCCGUGCGGAUCAGUAGCAGGAUCGUGCUUGUGAAUAGCCACUGCACUCCACCCUGGGUAACAGACCCUGUCUCUCUAGAUAGAUAGAUAGAUAGAUAGAUAGAUAGAUAGAUAGAUAGAUAGAUAGAGCGUAUAUAUAUACAUAUGCUAAUUCUAUAGAAACAUGUAACUGUCCUUUGACAUUUUAAUAAAAAUUGUGUAUACAAGAUUUCAAAUUUAAUUAUUCUCUUCUCCUUCCAUAGGAUCAAAGACAUCUUUUGGUUGCACAAGAAAAAGUGAAGCAAAUAUUCUCUGAAAAGUGACUGAUGCCAAUAAAACGUAUAAUUUUUGUAUGUUUAAUAGAGAUGGGGUUUCACCAUGUGUUGGCGCGCGCCUGUAGUCCCAGCUACUCUGGAGGCUGAGGCAGGAGAAUCGCUUGAACUCAGGAGGCGGAGGUUGCAAUGAGCCGAAAUCGUGCUACUGCACUCCAGCCUGGCAACAGAGCGAGACUCUGUCACACACACAAAAAAAGUAUAAUUUGAUGACAGUUUUUCUUCAAUAGUUUAAGACACUUCUAACAAACUAUAAUUUAGUUGUCCUAAUUAAAAGAAGAAAAAUGUUAAUAAUCUCACACAGUGACCUCUACAAAAUGUCCCUCAAUGGACCCAUUCUUUCCUUCGGAGAGAGAGGAAAAGGAUCCUACAUCUUAUACCUUAAAGCUCUUAAUCACUUUACAUGUGGGCUACAUGUCAUUUUUCAACGGUUUCCCUCUGGGUAGCUGGUUGCUCCAAUAUUUUCCAGAAUUGAUUCGUUCUUAGGU